UACGGGGGGGGCAAGCGUUGUUCGGAAUUACUGGGCGUAAAGGGUGCGUAGGUGGGCAGGUAAGUCAGUGGUGAAAUCUUUCGGCUUAACCGGAAAAGUGCUUCUGAUACUGGCGAGCUGGAGGGAGGUAGGGGCAGACGGAACUUCCGGUGGAGCGGUGAAAUGCGUAGAUAUCGGAAGGAACGCCGGUGGCGAAAGCGGUCUGCUGGAUCUCUUCUGACGCUGAGGCGCGAAAGCCAGGGGAGCAAACGGG
rnacentral:rRNA from 1 species